rnacentral:misc_RNA from 1 species
AGAAUGAGCGAACAUUAAUGCUACUAAGUGCAAUAUUGUUUUAAAUUUUAAUGUGUUAGGAAAAUACAUUAGAAUGAUUGGCAAGCGCCUUUGGUUAUCCACUUUAUUUCUUCCUCUCACCCCUGAGAGGGGAAAAGAAACCCUGCAUUGUGAAUUUAACCAAACAUAUGCAGUAAGACAUUUGCCAAUAAGAGUGUAUUUCAUGUGCUUCACCAAUAAAAAUAUGCAGUACACAUUUAAAGUAGUAAUGCUUUCCCCUUUUCUCUUGUGUUUAUCUUGAUUAUAUCAGUUUUCUUUUAAAAUGUUUUAAUCCCCUGUUUUUUUGUCACCUGCUUUCUAUCUCCCUUUUUCUGUUAUUUUACUAGAAACCGACAUUAAUGCUGGUAAGAGGUUUAUUAAAUAUGAUUCAUCGGAGCAUAAAUAGACUCCUGAUAGCAUUAGCAUAUGUUCCUAAUCUGUCUUAUUAUCGUUUGCUUGAUGUGGAGACACAUUGUUAAGUUCUUGUUAUGUGACCUAGGAUGUGAGUUUUAUCCAUAACACUCAAGAUUGGGGCAUUAAUCUAUCUCUAGUUUUUUCUAACUCAGGAUGUGGAUUUACUAGAAUUUAAUGGCUCAGGCAUGCAAUUUCUGGAUUUCUGCUAAUUGUUGGGUGCUGAUAUAUUAUAUAUGCUUUCAGUUAAAUUUUUU